rnacentral:rRNA from 1 species
UCGGAUCGCGGCGACUUGGGCGGUUCGCUGCUUGUGACGUCGCGAGAAGUCCACUGAACCUUAUCAUUUAGAGGAAGGAGAAGUCGUAACAAGGUUUCCGUAGGUGAACCUGCGGAAGGAUCAUUG